AGUGAACGCUGGCGGUAGGCCUAACACAUGCAAGUCGAACGGCAGCACAGAGGAGCUUGCUCCUUGGGUGGCGAGUGGCGGACGGGUGAGGAAUACAUCGGAAUCUACUCUGUCGUGGGGGAUAACGUAGGGAAACUUACGCUAAUACCGCAUACGACCUACGGGUGAAAGCUGGGGAUCUUCGGACCUCGCGCGAUUGAAUGAGCCGAUGUCGGAUUAGCUAGUUGGCGGGGUAAAGGCCCACCAAGGCGACGAUCCGUAGCUGGUCUGAGAGGAUGAUCAGCCACACUGGAACUGAGACACGGUCCAGACUCCUACGGGAGGCAGCAGUGGGGAAUAUUGGACAAUGGGCGCAAGCCUGAUCCAGCCAUACCGCGUGGGUGAAGAAGGCCUUCGGGUUGUAAAGCCCUUUUGUUGGGAAAGAAAUCCAUCUGGUUAAUACCCGGGUGGGAUGACGGUACCCAAAGAAUAAGCACCGGCUAACUUCGUGCCAGCAGCCGCCGUAA
rnacentral:rRNA from 1 species